UACGUAGGGUGCAAGCGUUGCUCGGAAUUACUGGGCGUAAAGCGUGCGCAGGCGGCUUUGCAAGACAGAUGUGAAAUCCCCGGGCUUAACCUGGGAACUGCAUUUGUGACUGCAUGGCUGGAGUGCGGCAGAGGGGGAUGGAAUUCCGCGUGUAGCAGUGAAAUGCGUAGAUAUGCGGAGGAACACCGAUGGCGAAGGCAAUCCCCUGGGCCUGCACUGACGCUCAUGCACGAAAGCGUGGGGAGCAAACAGG
rnacentral:rRNA from 1 species